GGGGACCAUCCUCCAAGGCUAAAUACUCCUGACUGACCGAUAGUGAACCAGUACCGUGAGGGAAAGGCGAAAAGAACCCCGGCGAGGGGAGUGAAAAAGAACCUGAAACCGUGUACGUACAAGCAGUGGGAGCACGCUUAGGCGUGUGACUGCGUACCUUUUGUAUAAUGGGUCAGCGACUUAUAUUCUGUAGCAAGGUUAACCGAAUAGGGGAGCCGAAGGGAAACCGAGUCUUAACUGGGCGUUAAGUUGCAGGGUAUAGACCCGAAACCCGGUGAUCUAGCCAUGGGCAGGUUGAAGGUUGGGUAACACUAACUGGAGGACCGAACCGACUAAUGUUGAAAAAUUAGCGGAUGACUUGUGGCUGGGGGUGAAAGGCCAAUCAAACCGGGAGAUAGCUGGUUCUCCCCGAAAGCUAUUUAGGUAGCGCCUCGUGAAUUCAUCUCCGGGGGUAGAGCACUGUUUCGGCAAGGGGGUCAUCCCGACUUACCAACCCGAUGCAAACUGCGAAUACCGGAGAAUGUUAUCACGGGAGACACACGGCGGGUGCUAACGUCCGUCGUGAAGAGGGAAACAACCCAGACCGCCAGCUAAGGUCCCAAAGUCAUGGUUAAGUGGGAAACGAUGUGGGAAGGCCCAGACAGCCAGGAUGUUGGCUUAGAAGCAGCCAUCAUUUAAAGAAAGCGUAAUAGCUCACUGGUCGAGUCGGCCUGCGCGGAAGAUGUAACGGGGCUAAACCAUGCAC
rnacentral:rRNA from 1 species